rnacentral:rRNA from 1 species
UACGGGGGGGGCAAGCGUUGUUCGGAAUUACUGGGCGUAAAGGGCUCGUAGGUGGCCAACUAAGUCAGACGUGAAAUCCCUCGGCUUAACCGGGGAACUGCGUCUGAUACUGGAUGGCUUGAGUUUGGGAGAGGGACGCGGAAUUCCAGGUGUAGCGGUGAAAUGCGUUGAUAUCCUAAGGAACACCGGUGGCGAAAGCGGCUCACUGGAUCUCUUCUGACGCUGAGGCACGAAAGCUAGGGUAGCAAACGGG